rnacentral:rRNA from 1 species
CGUGAAGUGAAGCACAUAAA